AUGAACGCUGGCGGCAGGCAUAAUACAUGCAAGUUGAACGGCAGCACAGGUAGCAAUACUGGGUGGCGAGUGGCGCACGGGUGCGUAACACGUAUGCAACCUACCCUAUACAGGCGAAUAACCUUUAGAAAUGAGGGCUAAUACGCCGUAGUAUUACAGAUGGGCAUCUAUUUGUAAUUAAAGAUUUAUCGGUAUAGGAUGGGCAUGCGUCCCAUUAGUUAGUUGGUAAGGUAACGGCUUACCAAGACGAUGAUGGGUAGGGG
rnacentral:rRNA from 1 species